GGUUUUUUAGUGGUGCAGUGGCUAAGUGUUCAGCUGCUAACUGAAAGACUGGUGGUUCAUACCCACCAGAAACUC
rnacentral:tRNA from 1 species